GCCUUUCCUCUGGGACUGUGAGGCCCAGAGUGCCCACCCAGAACUCCACCUCUGACCUCACAAAGGCCUGCUUCAGAACUCGGUCUCCACUGCACUGCUGGCCAGACGAGGGAUGUUAUUUUGGGCAGUGCAUCUGGACUUGGUUCAAGUGGCACCAGCCAAAUCCCUGCCUUACUGACCUCUCCCCUGGAGGAGCAGGAGCAGUGCUCAAGGCCGCCCUGGGAGGGCUGAGAGGCAGGCUCUGGACUGGGGACACAGGGAUAGCUGAGCCCCAGCUGGGGGUGGAAGCUGAGCCAGGGACAGUCACAGAGGAACAAGAUCAAGAUGCGCUUUAACUGAGAAGCCCCCAAGGCAGAGGCUGAGAAUCAGAAGACAUUUCAGCAGAAACAUACAUAUGAUAGUUGAGAAAGACACAUAUUCUGAUCAUGAAGAAAUAAACACAAGUUAAAUAUGACUAAGCAGAAAGAUGGAAGGACCAGGAAUGGUGAUGCUAACUUGGAACCACGAUGCAGGCUCUAAACUCCUCUACAAUCAUCCUCCCUUGUGAGAAAAAUACAUAAGAUCUAAGGCACAUGAGAUGAUAUGCUUUCUGUUUGAGUUUCUCCUUUAUGUUACGCAUACUGAUAAAAUUGUUGAUGCCAGUUGAUCUGAAGGUCCCAGCAAGGAGCCGACUCACAGAAGAAUGCAGUUUUCACAUCAUGAUGAUUUAAUCUUCCUUGACCUGAGCAAUUGACAACCCCAAUUCUCCAGAACCUCACCCGCCACAAUCCCCUUAAAAACCCUGGCCCAGAACCCCUCAAGCAGACAGAUGUGAAGCUUGAGGAUUCCUUCAUCUCUUUGCCCAAUGGCAUUGUGAUUAUUAAACUCUUUUUCUGCUGCAAAUUAUGAUGUCUCAGUGUAUUGGUCUAUUGCUG
rnacentral:lncRNA from 1 species